rnacentral:rRNA from 1 species
GGGGUAAUGGCCUACCAAGGCGACGACGGGUAGCCGACCUGAGAGGUGACCGGCCCACUGGGACUGAGACACGGCCCAGACUCCUACGGGAGGCAGCAGUGGGGAAUAUUGCACAAUGGGCGCAAGCCUGAUGCAGCGACGCCGCGUGAGGGAUGACGGCCUUCGGGUUGUAAACCUCUUUCAGCAGGGAAGAAGCGCAAGUGACGGUACCUGCAGAAGAAGCGCCGGCUAACUACGUGCCAGCAGCCGCGGUAAUACGUAGGGCGCGAGCGUUGUCCGGAAUUAUUGGGCGUAAAGAGCUCGUAGGUGGUUUGUCGCGUUGUUCGUGAAAACCUGAGGCUUAACCUUGGGCGUGCGGGCGAUACGGGCAGACUGGAGUACUGCAGGGGAGACUGGAAUUCCUGGUGUAGCGGUGGAAUGCGCAGAUAUCAGGAGGAACACCGGUGGCGAAGGCGGGUCUCUGGGCAGUAACUGACGCUGAGGAACGAAAGCGUGGGUAGCGAACAGGAUUAGAUACCCUGGUAGUCCACGCCGUAAACGGUGGGCGCUA